UGGGAGCUGAAACUAGGAUUCACCCCUUA
rnacentral:piRNA from 1 species